rnacentral:rRNA from 1 species
UACGUAGGCGGGAAAUUAAGUCAGUAGUGAAAUCCUGCAGCUUAACUGUAGAACUGUUAUUGAUACUGGUUUUCUUGAAUAUAGUUGAGGUAGGCGGAAUGUGUAAAGUAGCGGUGAAAUGCUUAGAUAUUACACAGAACACCGAUUGCGAAGGCAGCUUACUAAGCUAUGAUUGACGCUGAGGUACGAAAGCGUGGGGAGCGAACAGGAUUAGAUACCCUGGUAGUCC